rnacentral:rRNA from 1 species
GUAGAGAGAGCUUGCUUCUCUUGAGAGCGGCGGACGGGUGAGUAAAGCCUAGGAAUCUGCCUGGUAGUGGGGGAUAACGUUCGGAAACGGACGCUAAUACCGCAUACGUCCUACGGGAGAAAGCAGGGGACCUUCGGGCCUUGCGCUAUCAGAUGAGCCUAGGUCGGAUUAGCUAGUUGGUGAGGUAAUGGCUCACCAAGGCGACGAUCCGUAACUGGUCUGAGAGGAUGAUCAGUCACACUGGAACUGAGACACGGUCCAGACUCCUACGGGAGGCAGCAGUGGGGAAUAUUGGACAAUGGGCGAAAGCCUGAUCCAGCCAUGCCGCGUGUGUGAAGAAGGUCUUCGGAUUGUAAAGCACUUUAAGUUGGGAGGAAGGGCAGUUACCUAAUACGUGAUUGUUUUGACGUUACCGACAGAAUAAGCACCGGCUAACUCUGUGCCAGCAGCCGCGGUAAUACAGAGGGUGCAAGCGUUAAUCGGAAUUACUGGGCGUAAAGCGCGCGUAGGUGGUUUGUUAAGUUGGAUGUGAAAUCCCCGGGCUCAACCUGGGAACUGCAUUCAAAACUGACUGACUAGAGUGUGGUAGAGGGUGGUGGAAUUUCCUGUGUAGCGGUGAAAUGCGUAGAUAUAGGAAGGAACACCAGUGGCGAAGGCGACCACCUGGACCAACACUGACACUGAGGUGCGAAAGCGUGGGGAGCAAACAGGAUUAGAUACCCUGGUAGUCCACGCCGUAAACGAUGUCAACUAGCCGUUGGGAGCCUUGAGCUCUUAGUGGCGCAGCUAACGCAUUAAGUUGACCGCCUGGGGAGUACGGCCGCAAGGUUAAAACUCAAAUGAAUUGACGGGGGCCCGCACAAGCGGUGAGCAUGUGGUUUAAUUCGAAGCAACGCGAAGAACCUUACAGGCCUUGACAUCCAAUGACUUUCCAGA